GUCCUUUUGUAGUUCACGGUCAUAAUGAUUGGGUGUUCAUGGGCACAUGUGAGCUAUGCCACCCGCUGAACCUUGUUAUGACAUCAGCACAUUACCUAUCUGACC
ensembl:snoRNA